UGGUUCUUUCUCGAAUACAAGAAAUUACUUAAUCAAAUUAGUGAGCAAAGUUGUGGUCUUACGGACUGAAAAUAAAUAAAAACCAGCGAGUCGUCUUCUCUGUACAUAUGAGGGUAUUAUUUCUACGCGGUAGUACAGAGAUUAGAGCGGGGUAGAGGUUAUGUUCAUGUCCGUUUUGUUCGGGUGAUGGCAAAUUGGAGAUUCCUUCGAAGUAAAGUAAGAUUGAAAAAGAGUAUUUCUUGGCACAUAAGAUAUUGGAGAGCCCGAGACUUGAGUCGGGAUUUGUUUAGCGAGCGAUCGAGGUACAGACGCUCAUUGUGGUAAUCUGCCCGCCUAGGAUACCUAUUCUGCUACUUUGGAGUGCUCCUUUGAUCCGGAGCCCAUACUUUUGGUACAAAUUUUCUGUUGCAUAAAUUUAUGUAUAUAUAUAUAUAUGACUAUUUGGGGGUACGGCGGGGCCCUGUCCCGUCAUAUGUUUCUGUUGUUGUUCGUAGAGGCCUGUAGACAUAUAUGUGGGUCAUGGGUCGUGUUUGUUCGGUUAUGUCUGUGACUUGUGCCUUAAGCGGCCCCGUUUGCUAUUAUGGCCGAAACGGCCCAUAUGUUUGUAUAUGUAUGUAUAUUCAGGCGAUGUGUAUUCCGCCAGCCUGCCGGCUUUGUAUGAUAUUUCUGCUACAGGUGACCGCUUAAGACGACGUCUGUUCUCAGUAUCUGUGCAAA